rnacentral:rRNA from 1 species
UACGUAGGUGGCAAGCGUUGUCCGGAUUUACUGGGCGUAAAGAGCGCGCAGGCGGUUGUUUAAGUCGAAUGUGAAAGCCCCCGGCUCAACUGGGGAGGGUCAUUCGAUACUGAUCGACUUGAAGGCAGGAGAGGGAAGUGGAAUUCCGGGUGUAGUGGUGAAAUGCGUAGAUAUCGGGAGGAACACCAGUGGCGAAGGCGACUACCUGGCCUGUUUCUUGACGCUGAGGCGCGAAAGCUAGGGGAGCAAACGGG